CAGCAGCCGCGGUAAUACGUAGGGUGCAAGCGUUAAUCGGAAUUACUGGGCGUAAAGCGUACGUAGGCGGCUUUGUAAGUUAGAGGUGAAAGCCUGGUGCUCAACACCAGAACUGCCUUUAAGACUGCAUCGCUUGAACGUCGGAGAGGUGAGUGGAAUUCCGAGUGUAGAGGUGAAAUUCGUAGAUAUUCGGAAGAACACCAGUGGCGAAGGCGGCUCACUGGACGACUGUUGACGCUGAGGUACGAAAGCGUGGGGAGCAAACAGGAUUAGAUACCCCGGUAGUCCCUGUCUCUUAUAC
rnacentral:rRNA from 1 species